rnacentral:lncRNA from 1 species
GAUACAGUUAUGGAGCACAUCAGAUGGCUUGGAAUUAGCUUGAAUUUGUUGGAUGUUUGGAAUUUAUUAUUGUAAAUUGGAAUUGUAUUGAAAUGUGGAUGUGGAAAUUGAAUGUAAUAAAUUUGGGAAAUCGUUUAUGAUGUAAGUGUAUUAUGGUUUUGAAAGUAUGAAAAUGAUUGUUGGAUUGAAUCAAAUGGUUCAUGCAAAAUUGAAAUAUCAUAACUAUGAAUGAAUUGAAAA